UCCCUGGUGGCUGAGUGGCUAAGUGCUGUGCUCCCAAAGCAGGGGCCUAGGGUUCAAGCCCUGAUCAGGGAA
rnacentral:tRNA from 1 species